rnacentral:rRNA from 1 species
GAUGAACGCUGGCGGCGUGCCUAAUACAUGCAAGUCGAGCGAACGGACGAGAAGCUUGCUUCUCUGACGUUAGCGGCGGACGGGUGAGUAACACGUGGAUAACCUACCUAUAAGACUGGUAUAACUUCGGGAAACCGGAGCUUAUACCGGAUAAUAUUUUGAACCGCAUGGUUCAAAAGUGAGAGACGGUCUUUCUGUCACUUAUCGAUGGAUCCGCGCUGCAUUGGCUGGUUGGUAAGGUCACGGCUUACCAAGGCAACGAUGCAUUGACGAACUGAGAGGCGGAUCGGCGACACUGGAACUGAGACACGGUCCAGAGUCCUACGAGAGGCAGCAGUAGGGAAUCUUACGCAAUGGGCGAAAGCCUGACAGAGUAACGCGGCGUGAGUGAUGAAGGUCUUCGGAGCGUGAAACUCUGUUAUUAGGGAAAAACAUAUGUGUAAGUAGCUGUGCACAGCUUGACGGUAACUAAUAAGAAAGCCACGGCUAACUACGUG